CCUGUUGUGGUUUCCAGUUUGGUUAUCCAGAAGCAGCUUAUUUCUAUUGAUUCUUGUGUAUUUUUCUUUAUUUAAAAUGAGACUUGCUGAUGUUGUGCUGCUUUUCUUAAUGAAUAUUCUAGUGCCAUAAUCAUUAGAAACCCACUGUAGUGGUUAUAGUUUUGUGCACAGUGAGAAAAUUCAGUUUGGCUGUGCCAUUUUUUCCAAAAAUACUUUUUUUUUCCGGGACAGCCAAAUUAAGCCAUAUGUUGGCAGAAAUUCGGUAAUGAAAAGCUGAUUUAGGAAACAGAUCAGAUAAACCAAGGAAAGAAAACAGGCCAAUCAGUG